GUCAAGUCAUCAUGCCCCUUAUGUCCAGGGCUUCACACAUGCUACAAUGGCUGGUACAGAGGGCUGCGAUACCGUGAGGUGGAGCGAAUCCCUUAAAGCCAGUCUCAGUUCGGAUCGUAGUCUGCAACUCGACUACGUGAAGUCGGAGUCGCUAGUAAUCGCAGAUCAGCAACGCUGCGGUGAAUACGUUCCCGGGCCUU
rnacentral:rRNA from 1 species